AAAGUUUUGCGAGGGAACGCAAAUGUUUUGCGAGAGAACGCAAAAGUUUUGCGAGGGAACGCAAAUGUUUUGCGAGAGAACGCAAAAGUUUUGCGAGGGAACGCAAAAGUUUUGCGAGAGAACGCAAAAAAAUUAAAAAUAUAUUUUUUCCUCCCACCCCAAAUUUUUUCACUCACUCUGAUUUUUUUCCACCACAAUGAACCUUAAGGGGCUCCGUACAAAUGAAGUUCUUUGUUUGUGCAAAAAAUAAAAUAUUAAUCUUCAAAUGCACGUUCACAAGAGCAGCGUACUACAUGAGGUUAAAAUGAAUAAAGUCAUGUUGCUGUUACUGGUGGGACCGAAAGCUCUCUUUGAAAAGAUAACAUUGAAGAUCUUCAUUUGUGUUCAGAAGAUGAACAAAAGUCUUAAAGCUUUGGAACGACAUGAGGGUGAGUAAAUGAUGACAGAAUUGUCAUUUUUGGGUGAACUAAAACUCUAAAAGCGCUUAACUGCACCACAUCUGGUGGUCUUCAGCCUACCUGCCCUUAAUGUUGAUAUGCCACUAAUGUGGGAUACUAUAAUACUUCACAUGAUUUACUAUAAACAAACUGUUUGCUUUUAUGCUAAUUUUUUUUUUUUUUUUUUUUUUUUUUUUUUUUUUUUUUGCUAUGUUUUGACCAUACUAAUGUGUCUUUUUUAUUUUAGAAUUGAGUGUCUAUGGUGUGAUGUUUCUUCAGCUGUCUCUUCUGGUGGAGCAGCUUCUUCAAGAGGACACUGUUGACAGUGACACAGAGGAUGAUGGUGUGCUGGUGCCAGAGAUCUGCUGUCCUUUAUCAGACCAAAAACUCACUGUGUCAAGUGUCUAUGAAUUUAAAAGAAGAAAUUAAAAAAGAAAUUAAAACUAUUGGGAAGAACAUUGUCUAGACAUUUAAGUUCAUUUCCAAAUCUACACUCUGUAAAAGCAAGCACCAUGUUGAACUGUUUUCAUGAUUUCUUUAAAUUCAUUCAAAUCUGACAGAUGUGCAGUGGGAAGUGUGAUGGUUUGGGAGCAUGCGCUGACAAUAGGAGAGCAAAGAGUGUGUCUUGGCCUUUCGCUGCAUGUGUGAUCAAACUCUACAGAUAUUUUAAAGCUGGUCUCUGACAGAAGCAGGUGUCUAUGUGCUUGAGUCAGUCACUGCAUCACCUGUGAGACAGAGAGAGCCUCUCAUCCUGACUAUCACCAUCUAGAGCAGUAAAAUAUACAAUAUGUGUUUAAGACACUUCAUGACAUCACUACACACAGUACAAUAAUCAUUCAAGACAUUUGAAAACGUACAGUUAGUUUAGAACUAACUGCUGCUUUAGAAAACUGCAAGUUUACAGAGAAGGUUAACACUGGAACAAACGAUAUUAAUAAAGCCGUUUCUUUCCUCUUUUCCUCUCUCCA
ensembl:lncRNA